rnacentral:rRNA from 1 species
UACGUAGGCAGCAAGCGUUUGUUCGGAGUUACUGGGCGUAAAGGGUGUGUAGGCGGCCUGUUAAGUUCCGUGUGAAAUCUCCCGGCUCAACCGGGAGGGUGCGCGGAAAACGUGGCGGGCUAGAGUGCGGGGAUGGGAGAGUAGAAUUCCUGGUGUAGCGGUGAAAUGCGUAGAUAUCAGGAGGAACACCGGUGGCGAAGGCGGAUCUCUGGGCCGUAACUGACGCUGAGGAGCGAAAGCAUGGGGAGCGAACAGG